AGCAGCAUGGCGCAGUUGGAAGCGCGCGGGGCCCAUAAUAUGGAGAUACCCCGAGGUCACUCGAUCGAAACGAGUUGCUGCUA